rnacentral:SRP_RNA from 1 species
CUCCGGUCCCUUCGCAACGAUAAGCUGUGAACCCCGUCAGGCCCGGAAGGGAGCAGCGGCAGCAGUGGACUUGUGUGCCGGGGUGUGGCUGGAGCGA